CUCUUCCUUUUCCGGCAAGGGCCAAAUGGUAACAUUUUUCCACCAUCUUGCCUACAAUUUUUGUGAUCAGAUCUGGAACUUUGGCCCAUAGAUUAAUAAGUUUUUGAGCCCAUUAUAAAAAUUGUUAACCCUAAUCCUCUGCAGAAGUCUAACUAUGUUACGUACGCCUCCUUUUUGCCCUUUUUCCCUCUCUCAUGUUUUCAUGUCUCCUCUGCAGAAGUCUAACUAUGCUACGUAAGUCUCCUUUUUGCCAUUUUUCCCUCUCUCAUGUUUUCAUGUCAUUUUUGGAUUUUUAAUGUCAUUUUUUGCUGUGUAGGUUUUCCCAGAUUGCCGUUGUUAUCUGCACUUGCACCUGAUGCUGAUGUUAAAGGUAUUGGUAUUUAUUUUUUAUUUUAUUUUUAUGGAGAAGAUUGUAAUAAUUUUUUUAAUUUAUUGUGAUUUCUUUUUUAUGGAGAUCUAAUAUUGGUUUAUUCCUUUCACUUUUUAGUUUUUUGGGUUUAAUAUUUGUUGAUUUUUUUUGUUUUAAUAUUUGUUGAUUUUUUUUUCAAGAGUCUGCUAUCCCCCCAUUUUGCCGUCUACAUAUGGCUGGGACGGAGAAUCUGCAUUUGAAGAAGGGCAUGUUAGUACGUUAAUGUUACGGCAAAAUGGGGGGAUAGCAGACCCUUGAAAAAAAAAUCAACAAAUAUUAAAACAAAAAAAACAACAAAUAUUAAACCCAAAAAACUAAAAACUGAAAGGAAUAAACCAAUAUUAGAUCUCCAUUAAAAAGAAAUCACAAUAAAUUAAAAAAAUUAUUACAAUCUCCUCCAUAAAAAUAAAAUAAAAAAAUAAAUACCAAUACCUUUAGCAUCAGCAUCAGGUGCAAGUGCAGAUAACAACGGCAAUCUGGGAAAACCUACACAGCAAAAAAUGACAUUAAAAAUUCAAAAAUGACAUGAAAACAUGAGAGAGGGAAAAAGGGCAAAAAGGAGGCGUACGUAGAGAAUCCUCUGCAGAAGUCUAACAAUUUCGCCUAUAAUUUUUUUUGAUACUUUGUGGUAAGUGCGAUUGUCCUUUUUCUUGAAUUAUUUUUUGAAAUAGUUUUGUUUUAAAAUUAUUUUGACUCACCCUAAUUUUUUGAGCCCAAAAAAUCAAAUGUUGUUUUGGGCCUAUUCGUGAUAGAAUCCAAAACAAACAUUUGUUUUGGACUCUCACAUUUGGAUCCAAAAAAUAUUUAAGUUUUUUGUGAUGGAUGUACUAAGUCAGGAGACGAACAUUUUUCCACCAUUUUUGUGAUCAUUUGUUUUGGGCUCUGUAACAUUUGGAUCCAAAAAAUAUACAAGUUUUUUGUGAUGGACGUACUAAUUCAGAAGACUACAUUCUCUCUUUUUUCUUUCUCUUCCUUUUCUGGCAAGGGCCAAAUGGUAACAUUUUUCCACCAUCUCUCCUACAAUUUUUGUGAUCAGAUCUGAAAUUUUGUCCCAUAGAUUAAUAAGUUUUUGAGCCCAUUAUAAAAAUUGUUAACCCUAAUCCUCUGCAGAAGUCUAACUAUGCUACGUACGCUUCCUUUUUGCCCUUUUUCCCUCUCUCAUGUUUUCAUGUCUCCUUUGCAGAAGUCUAACUAUGCUACGUACGCCUCCUUUUUGCCCUUUUUCCCUCUCUCAUGUUUUUAUGUCAUUUUUGGAUUUUUAAUGUCAUUUUUUGCUGUGUAGGUUUUCCCAGAUUGCCGUUGUUAUCUGCACUUGCACCUGAUGCUGAUGCUAAAGGUAUUGGUAUUUAUUUUUUUAUUUUAUUUUUAUGGAGGAGGUUGUAAUAAUUUUUUUAAUUUAUUGU
rnacentral:lncRNA from 1 species